GUUCAACCUGUCCUCCCCACUGUCAAAUAACAUUCAGUGUUAAAAGCUUGUGUUCAAAUUUUGUGUGAAUGAGUUUGCUGCUAUUAGUUAAAAGAGUUCAGGACGUUUUUACUGAGUCAGAAGCUAUUUUAGUGUACUUCUAAUGGAUUUCAAAAGCUGGGGAAGUGCUUUGUUAUCUGGAAGCAUGCUCUAUGUUGUUGGAAUAUUGAGUUGCUGAAUUUGUGCACUAAAUAGGGCUCUAGGAUACAAUCAGUGCAGAAAAUUAGAACAGAAGUAGGGAAGAAGAAAUUUAGAAACCGUUGCGUCCAUGGGGAUACUAUUUUGUACCAGUUCUCCUUUUCAAACUGCCAACAUAGAGAUCUGAUACAUCACUCCUACAGUGGACAACCUUGCAUAUUCUCCAAAUCUCAUGUUAUUUUCAUAUGCAUCAAUAACUAUCUGUAUUCUUCUACUUCCAUCAGUUGCAGCUAUAGAAGACUUUUAUAUCCUGAUUGCUGAUUGAAACCUGAAGAAUUCCAUGAGAACAGAAAUAUCUGCUACCAAAUCGAACUAUUGACUUUUAAAGAUGAGAAUCCCUCUGAAUCCUCCUAUGGAGAUAAUAGAAUUAUGUGUCAAAUAUAGAUAAUCUUUUCUUACUGGCUAUUCUAUGUAAACUGUUUUCUCUUGGAAAAUAGUGGAGAAAUGAAGUGAGUCUGGCUAGCUGGUGGUGAUCUAUCGUCAUUCUUUACUUUUUCUUUUCAUUAAUUUUUUUUCAAAAUUUGAUUGACUUUUAGCACUUCUGAUCUUAGAACAAUGCUUCUUUCUACAACUUUUUUGCUAACCCGGUUCUAUCUUGAUAGCUGUAUUAAUUUAUGAAAUCUUGGUUAAAAGAGUGACAAUUAGCACAAGGAUAAUCAGAAAUUUAUUGUACAACAGAUGGUCCAGGGGCAGAAUUCUGACAUAAUUGUUUGAUAUGAUUAUUAGUAGAGAAAUUGCAGUUUACUGAAAUGUAAUUCUUGAAGAUAAUAGCCUAUGGCUUUUGUAUACUUAUGCUACUGAACUUGUGCAGAAUCAGCAUGCAUGAUAUUUCUUCACCAUCUUUUCUUUUUUCUUUUUCUUUUUUUUAUAGAUGAUCUGAUUGAUUCAUCCAAUUUCAUAUAUCUGAACUAUCUUAAUGGGAAACCUGCUUGCAUCUAAAAGGUGUAAAGUGUAGAAAUCAGCUUGGUGUCUUGUUACCUGUAAUUGCAGUACAUUUUCUUACAUACCUUGUUGUGUAUGUAAAACUAAAUAAGUCAAUUCAAGUUGCGUUUAUGUUCUGUGAGAUGUUGACCAGUUAUAUGGUUAAAUACUCUCUGCAGUAUUUCAGAUCUUUAAGUGGUCUAAAUGCUGAAGGUUUUGAAAUUUUGGAUGCGAAUAUGUCAGCUAAAGGGAUGAGAAUAUCAGUAAGUACAGAGGAGGAACUUGGCAGCAGUAUGGAGAGGAAAGAUGCAGCCGAUGACUUUGGAGAACCAGUGCAGGUUUGAAAAUAAGCUACUAGCUAGUAGAUCAAGUUGAUGAUUUGAACAACAAAAUCUUGCCCCCUUCAAUCUGCAAUUUGGCUAUGUCAAAUCAGUAUACUGUGAAGUUAAUUCUGAAAAUUUCUUAAAGCUCUACAAAAAUGCUGCUAUACAAUAAUCAGUUUAUGUACUGGUCAAGGAAUGGCCCAUAAGCUUGAGCCUAUAUAUCUGUGAACAUUUUUC